AAACCACCCCUAGAUACUAUUUCUGCCCUACUGUUAUUAGACCAGUUUGGAACACACAUUGAGAUGAGUCCUUACUUAAAAGGGGGCACUACUGGUAACCAGCCAGCCUCUUCAAGGAAAACUAAAGCAAAGAACUAAAAAAACCCUUACAUGACUGUUUUGAAGAGACUACUAGCAAUCAGAUAAAUGAGGAAGAAGAAAGUUGCUGAAGAAGACAGCUGUUCAAGAAAGUGGGUAGUUGGGUUUAUCUACAUCCAUACUGUGUGAACUCAAGUCUCUCUCUGAAUGGGUCCUUUGUGGAAAAUACUGUUUGGCGACUAGCUCUCUUAGAGGAAAUCACUCAGGUUUUGCUAGAGAGUCAUUCCAUGCUGGAGUAGAGUUUUGGAGGACUGUAAAAUGCACUU